CAGGUGUCGACUGGAGCUCAGAGGAAUGAGGUCGGCCGGUAGCUCAGCUGCGGAGCUCUGAUGGGUCCAGGCCGACUGACUGACUCACGUAUACUCAAAUUUCGCAGGGGGUGAAAUUUGAGGUCAUAUCCCGGGAGAGAGGAAGAAGGGUCGUUGUGACAAGGGACAACGGGCUGGCUCAAGUUUUAUGAAGCAUGACCCAACAACAUCCUCUGAAGGCUGAUCAGCACUGGACUAGAAAUCACUGCAUGAGCUAUAUCCGUCAGAGACCCCUGAAACCCAUUCCCCAUUCUGAAGGUGUAGACAUCACAGACUGUGGACAGAAAUAGCUUCUCAGACUUGAAUGUAGCCCCAGACCCUUUGUGUCUGCCUUUGAAAGAACUUACAGCCAUGGUACAUCAGAGUGAAGGAGAAGAAAGAAUCCUUUGCCAUUGCUCUAUUUUUCAUUCAGUUGUCAUGUUACCUUGAAAAUAAAGGUUUCAUCUCAGUGUUUAUAUAUUCCUCUGUAUUCUCUUUCAUCUUGGGAAAAAAAAAAAAAACCCAGGCU